GUUGGUCUCUCGCUUCUCACGAAGGUGAAAACCCUAGCGGGGUUUCAUCCAAGCUCAAACCGGCCAAGGUCGCUCUCACGGAGGUUCUCUGCUCACGAAGGAAAAACCCUAGUUUUCUCUCUCUCGCGAAGGUGAAGCAACAGAGAUGCCGUUGAUUCGAUCUCUCUCUCUCCCUGCUCACGAAGAAAGUCGUUGAUACUCUCUGUUUUUUUCUGUGUUUGAGUACUCCUCGCUCGCUGAAGCUCUGUCUGUUCGGUCGCGAAGCUCUAUCUGUGCAGCUCAUUUUUCCCACACCAAUCGGCUAACGUGUUUCAGAGUAGGUUGAUCGUACUACUAUGGGUACGAAGAUUGAGAUCAUCAAGAUCAUGCGUUCAUCCAUUCGGGACAUGAUGGUGAUCUCCAAUGAUAUGGCUAAAGUUUAUCAACGUGUCCAAUAGAUUUUGGCCGAGUUGAAGGAGGAAGAGAAACUUGGAGGUGGUGAGGAUGUCGAGAAGGUUGCUGAUUGGUAGAAUACUUCUUCCAAAUAGGUCAAGAUUUCCUUAAAGCCUACUCGUGCGCUUCUGCAGGAUCUUCAGGAUUUUAUUGGUGUUCCAGCUAUUAUUGAUCUUGCGUGCUGUUGGUGGCGAUUCCAACAAGACUAACCCAUUAGCACCAGUUGAUCUUGUCAUUGACCACUUAGUUCAAGUUGAUGUGGAAAGAUCAGAAAAUGAAUGCAGACAAACAUAGAAUCCAUCAAUGACAGAUUCCAAAAAUCUGUGGGAGCUUUUGCCACCCCCCACCAUGGAAGCUCAGGCGCAAAACCCUCGGUCUGUCUGGAAAUAGAAAGGCACUAGAAGUUAACUUACCAGAAAGCUCUCGAAAAAUUCAUCACCUGCAUUUGGAAGUACAUCUUGUUCUAUUUGAAACUUUGAGAUGAGACUGAAGUUAUUAUAAAAUGCUUCACUGAGAUGGUGAGAUCUUCAGUUAAAAGAGAUUCACCACCUGCUUCAUUUUGGAAAGCAGUUCUCCUUGUGCCUCGAAGACCUUGUUCCAGCUGCUCUUGGUAGGUACACCCAGGCCUUGUUGUGUCCAUCCAUCAAGCCAAGAGCCUUGGUUCUGCUGUUGUCAAAAGCUCCUUUGAACAUAUGCUAGAGAGGAUGUUCAAUUUAUUCCUGGAACAGGGUCACGUUAUGGACAGAUAUAAGCAGUUUGCCUGAGAUCAAGAGCCCAGAGUUAUUUCACAACUUCUAAGGUCAAAGUUGAAAACAGAAACUGGAACAUCAAGCACUUCGUCACAUUCAAAUUUACCUACUUCCACUACUAAAGCAGCCAUGCAGGUAAUCAGGUGGUGCCGUGGUAGGAAGGAGAGAGUUUAACAUGAUGAAUGUGGAUGGUGAAGGCAAGGAUAUCCCAUCAACUAUGGUGGCAUCUGCUACUUUGCUUGAAGGUGAGGGGCAUGUGUUGCUCAAAUGUGCACUGUCCUGCUAUUGAGACCUAGAAAAAUAAUUAUAUUUCUCGGCUAAUUCUUCGUUGUUGCAACUCUACAUCCAUGAGAUUGGUGCCGGUGAGCAACAAUGAUAAAGGUUGAAUGUUUAACUGCCAAAUGCUGUUUUGGUUGUUGCUGGUUGCUGUUUUACUCGAUCAUCCCAUUUUGAUGGCUCCCCUAACGUUCAUGGUAUGUGGAUUGUAUGCCCACAUUGAUGAUGGAAUGUAUAUGUUAUGCAUACAUAUAUCAACCAUAUUGUACUCCAUAGAAUGCUGAGUUAAUUCUGUAGCGGCGGUGACAUUUCCAUCUUCUUCAUAUAUAUACCUGGGUUUAAUAUUCAUCUUGUUAGUGCUGUUGUGUAAGCGUAUAUUAUCUCACGGUAGCCAGCUAUAUAUAAGAGCUUUUCUGGAAGAGUUUUGCGA